UACGUAGGGGGCAAGCGUUGUCCGGAUUUAUUGGGCGUAAAGAGCGUGUAGGCGGCUAUGCAGGUCCGCUGUGAAAACUCGAGGCUCAACCUCCAGACGUCGACGGAAACCGUGUGGCUAGAGUCCGGAAGAGGAGAGUGGAAUUCCUGGUGUAGCGGUGAAAUGCGCAGAUAUCAGGAAGAACACCAAUGGCGAAGGCAGCUCUCUGGGACGGUACUGACGCUGAGACGCGAAAGCGUGGGGAGCGAACAGG
rnacentral:rRNA from 1 species